GUCCCGACGGGAGAAUCUGGGAAGCCGGUGAGACUCCGGCACAGGCCCGCUGCGGUGACCCGGACGCCGCCGACCACGAGGUCGGCAGCGAUCCGGGCAAGUCCGAAGACCGGC
rnacentral:ncRNA from 2 species